CUAGAUGUUCAAAUGUGAAUCAAUCAAUACCGAAUAUCAAGAUUGACAGAUAAAAAUAAACAUGACCUAAUAUUAAUUGAAAUUAAAUCAAGUGGUAAAUAAGAUUUUAAGUUCUUAAUUUAAAUCAAUUUCAAAAAAAAAAAAAUUAAACAGUUCAAAUUCAAACUCAUAAACGCGCUGUCGAGAUCAAUUUUCAUAUAU
rnacentral:lncRNA from 1 species